AACGAACGCUGGCGGCAGGCUUAACACAUGCAAGUCGAACGCGUGCAGCAAUGCACGAGUGGCGCACGGGUGAGUAACGAGUGGAUAUCUGCCUUUUGGUUCGGAAUAACCCCGGGAAACUGGGGCUAAUACCGGAUGGUUCCUACGGGAUAAAGAUUUAUCGCCAAAAGAUGAGUCCGCGUCCGAUUAGCUAGUUGGUGAGGUAAUGGCUCACCGAGGCGACGAUCGGUAGCUGGUCUGAGAGGACGAUCAGCCACACUGGGACUGAGACACGGCCCAGACUCCUACGGGAGGCAGCAGUGGGGAAUAUUGGACAAUGGGGGCAACCCUGAUCCAGCCAUGCCGCGUGAGUGAUGAAGGCCUUCGGGUUGUAAAGCUCUUUUGGCGGGGACGAUGAUGACGGUACCCGCAGAAUAAGCCCCGGCUAACUUCGUG
rnacentral:rRNA from 1 species